rnacentral:rRNA from 1 species
UACGAGGGGUGCUAGCGUUGUCCGGAAUUAUUGGGCGUAAAGGGUCCGCAGGCGUUCUAACAAGUCAAUUGUAAAAGACACCGGCUUAACCGGUGGACUGCAUUUGAAACUGUUAGAAUAGAGUAUAGGAGAGGAAAGUGGAAUUCCUGGUGUAGCGGUGACAUGCGUAGAUAUCAGGAGGAACACCAAUGGCGAAGGCAACUUUCUGGCCUAUUACUGACGCUGAGGGACGAAAGCGUGGGGAGCAAAC